GUCUAUGGCCACGCCACCAUGAACGAGCCCGAUCCCGUCUGAUCUCGGAAGCUAAGCAGGGUUGGGCCUGGUUAGUACUUGGAUGGGAGACCAUCUAGGAAGACCAGGUGCUUGCUGUAGGUA
rnacentral:rRNA from 1 species